AGCAGUCGCCGCGGUAAAACGGAGGGGGCUAGCGUUGUUCGGAAUUACUGGGCGUAAAGCGCACGUAGGCGGCUUUGUAAGUCAGAGGUGAAAGCCCGGGGCUCAACCCCGGAAUUGCCUUUGAGACUGCAUCGCUUGAAUCCAGGAGAGGUGAGUGGAAUUCCGAGUGUAGAGGUGAAAUUCGUAGAUAUUCGGAAGAACACCAGUGGCGAAGGCGGCUCACUGGACUGGUAUUGACGCUGAGGUGCGAAAGCGUGGGGAGCAAACAGGAUUAGAUACCCCUGUAGUCCCUGUCUCUUAUAC
rnacentral:rRNA from 1 species